AAUCUGUUUUAGUGGCGGACGGGUGAGUAACGCGUGGGCAACCUGCCCUGUACCGGGGGAUAACACUUAGAAAUAGGUGCUAAUACCGCAUAAUAGGGAAUACCGCAUGGUAAUCCUUUGAAAACUCCGGUGGUACAGGAUGGGCCCGCGUCUGAUUAGCCAGUUGGCGGGGUAACGGCCCACCAAAGCGACGAUCAGCAGCCGGCCUGAGAGGGUGGACGGCCACACUGGGACUGAGACACGGCCCAGACUCCUACGGGAGGCAGCAG
rnacentral:rRNA from 1 species